rnacentral:rRNA from 1 species
GACGUAGGGCGCGAGCGUUGUCCGGAUUUAUUGGGCGUAAAGAGCUCGUAGGCGGCUUGUCGCGUCGACUGUGAAAUCCCGCGGCUCAACUGCGGGUCUGCAGUCGAUACGGGCAGGCUAGAGUUCGGUAGGGGAGACUGGAAUUCCCGGUGUAGCGGUGAAAUGCGCAGAUAUCGGGAAGAACACCCGUGGCGAAGGCGGUUCUCUGGGACGGUACUGACGCUGAGACGCGAAAGCGUGAGGAGCGAACAGG